UACGGAGGGUGCGAGCGUUGUCCGGAAUUACUGGGCGUAAAGCGUGCGUAGACGGCUAUCUAAGUCGGGUGAAAGCCCCGGGCUCAACCUGGGAAUUGCAUUCGAGACUGAAUAGCUAGGGUGCGGUAGAGGGAAGCGGAAUUUCCGGUGUAGCGGUGAAAUGCGUAGAUAUCGGAAGGAACACCAGUGGCGAAGGCGGCUCACUGGACCGGCAUUGACGCUGAGGUGCGAAAGCGUGGGGAGCAAACAGG
rnacentral:rRNA from 1 species